UGCUUCUCCGGAUGAGUUGCGAACGGGUGAGUAACGCGUAGGUAACCUGCCUGGUAGCGGGGGAUAACUAUUGGAAACGAUAGCUAAUACCGCAUAAGAGUAGAUGUUGCAUGACAUUUGCUUAAAAGGUGCAAUUGCAUCACUACCAGAUGGACCUGCGUUGUAUUAGCUAGUUGGUGGGGUAACGGCUCACCAAGGCGACGAUACAUAGCCGACCUGAGAGGGUGAUCGGCCACACUGGGACUGAGACACGGCCCAGACUCCUACGGGAGGCAGCAGUAGGGAAUCUUCGGCAAUGGACGGAAGUCUGACCGAGCAACGCCGCGUGAGUGAAGAAGGUUUUCGGAUCGUAAAGCUCUGUUGUAAGAGAAGAACGAGUGUGAGAGUGGAAAGUUCACACUGUGACGGUAUCUUACCAGAAAGGGACGGCUAACUACGUGCCAGCAGCCGCGGUAAUACGUAGGUCCCGAGCGUUGUCCGGAUUUAUUGGGCGUAAAGCGAGCGCAGGCGGUUAGAUAAGUCUGAAGUUAAAGGCUGUGGCUUAACCAUAGUACGCUUUGGAAACUGUUUAACUUGAGUGCAAGAGGGGAGGGUGGAAUUCCAUGUGUAGCGGU
rnacentral:rRNA from 1 species